GUCUUUUAGAAUAUAAUUUAAAGUCUAACCUGCCCACUGAAUUAAUUUGAAGGGCCGCGGUAUUUUGACUGUGCAAAGGUAGCAUAAUCAUUAGUUUUUUAAUUGGAGGCUUGUAUGAAUGGUUGGAUGAAACAUUAACUGUCUCAAUUUAAUAAAAAUAGAAUUUAAUUUUUAAGUUAAAAAGCUUAAAUAUAAUUAGAGGACGAGAAGACCCUAUAGAUCUUUAUAAUUGAUUAUUUAUUAUUAAUUUAGUAAAUUAAUUUUUAUUAAUUAGUUAAUUAUUUUAUUGGGGUGAUAAAUAAAUUUGGUAAACUUUAUUUUAUAUAAACAUUUAUUUAUGAAUAUUUGAUCCAUUAGUAAUGAUUAAAAGAUUAAGUUACCUUAGGGAUAACAGCGUAAUUUUUUUAGAGAGUUCAAAUCGAUAAAAAAGUUUGCGACCUCGAUGUUGAAUUAAAGGUUAAUUUUAGGUGCAGAAGUUUAAAGUUUUGGUCUGUUCGACCAUUAAAUC
rnacentral:rRNA from 1 species